rnacentral:rRNA from 1 species
GACGAACGCUGGCGGCGUGCUUAACACAUGCAAGUCGAACGGAAAGGCCCUGCUUUUGUGGGGUGCUCGAGUGGCGAACGGGUGAGUAACGCGUGAGUAACCUGCCCUUGACUUUGGGAUAACUUCAGGAAACUGGGGCUAAUACCGGAUAGGAGCUCCUGCUGCAUGGUGGGGGUUGGAAAGUUUCGGCGGUUGGGGAUGGACUCGCGGCUUAUCAGCUUGUUGGUGGGGUAGUGGCUUACCAAGGCUUUGACGGGUAGCCGGCCUGAGAGGGUGACCGGCCACAUUGGGACUGAGAUACGGCCCAGACUCCUACGGGAGGCAGCAGUGGGGAAUAUUGCACAAUGGGCGGAAGCCUGAUGCAGCAACGCCGCGUGCGGGAUGACGGCCUUCGGGUUGUAAACCGCUUUCGCCUGUGACGAAGCGUGAGUGACGGUAAUGGGUAAAGAAGCACCGGCUAACUACGUA